AUUGAACGCUGGCGGCAUGCUUUACACAUGCAAGUCGAACGGCAGCGGGGGCUUCGGUCCGCCGGCGAGUGGCGAACGGGUGAGUAAUGCAUCGGAACGUGCCCAGUCGUGGGGGAUAACACAUCGAAAGAUGUGCUAAUACCGCAUACGUCCUGAGGGAGAAAGCGGGGGAUCUUCGGACCUCGCGCGAUUGGAGCGGCCGAUGUCGGAUUAGCUAGUUGGUGGGGUAAAGGCCCACCAAGGCGACGAUCCGUAGCGGGUCUGAGAGGAUGAUCCGCCACACUGGGACUGAGACACGGCCCAGACUCCUACGGGAGGCAGCAGUGGGGAAUUUUGGACAAUGGGGGCAACCCUGAUCCAGCCAUGCCGCGUGAGUGAAGAAGGCCU
rnacentral:rRNA from 1 species